AGCGAACGCUGGCGGCAGGCCUAACACAUGCAAGUCGAACGAAGUCUUCGGACUUAGUGGCGGACGGGUGAGUAACACGUGGGAACGUACCUUUUGGUUCGGAACAACUCAGGGAAACUUGAGCUAAUACCGGAUGAGCCCUUAGGGGGAAAGAUUUAUCGCCGAAAGAGCGGCCCGCGUUAGAUUAGCUAGUUGGUGAGGUAAAGGCUCACCAAGGCUACGAUCUAUAGCUGGUCUGAGAGGAUGAUCAGCCACACUGGGACUGAGACACGGCCCAGACUCCUACGGGGGGGAGGAGGGGGGAAUCUUGCGCAAUGGGCGAAAGCCUGACGCAGCCAUGCCGCGUGAAUGAUGAAGGUCUUAGGAUUGUAAAAUUCUUUUACCAGGGACGAUAAUGACGGUACCUGGAGAAAAAGCCCCGGCUAACUUCGUGCCAGCCGCCGCAGUAAGAC
rnacentral:rRNA from 1 species